AACAUUACGACUCAUGUGGAAUCUCGUGUCCUGCAAACUGCUCUAAUUUCCGAGAUCCCAUCAUCUGUACGUACGAUUGUAAUCCCGGCUGCUUCUGUAAUAGCGGAUACGUUCUUGAUUUGACGUUCCCUAGUGUAUGUGUCGAAGAGAAUCAGUGCCCUAUUAAAAGAGGAGAUGAAUACUAUUGUGAUAAACCUCACAGAGAACUCCAAACUUGCGGCACAGCCUGUCCUAAAACCUGCGCGAACCGCAAUCAGAACAUUGGUUGUAUAUUGCCGUGUGUUAUUGGCUGCUUCUGCGCGGAGGGCUAUCUGUCCAACAGCAACGGCGACUGCGUUCUAGAAUCUGAAUGCGAUGAUUAAAA